AUUGAACGCUGGCGGCAGGCCUAACACAUGCAAGUCGAGCGAGCGGCGGACGGGUGAGUAAUGCCUGGGAAUUGCCCAGUCGAGGGGGAUAACAGUUGGAAACGACUGCUAAUACCGCUUACGAAUGGAUUGCCCAGGUGGGAUUAGCUAGUUGGUGAGGUAAUGGCUCACAAAGGCGACGAUCCCUAGCUGGUCUGAGAGUAUGAUCAGCCAGACCUGAACGGAGACACGGUCCAGACGCCGACGGGAGGCAGCAGAGGGGAAUAUUGCACAAUGGGGGAAACCCUGAUGCAGCCAUGCCGCGUGUGUGAAGAAGCCCUUCGGGUUGUAAAGCACCGUCAGCGAGGAGGCGUUACUCGCAGAAGAAGCACCGGCUAACUCCGUGCCAGCAGCCGCGGUAAUUC
rnacentral:rRNA from 1 species